ACAUGCAGUCGAGCGAGGUCUUAAGACCCUAGCGGCGGACGGGUGAGUAACACGUAGGCAACCUGCCCAUAAAACGGGGAUAACAUAGGGAAACUUAUGCUAAUACCGGAUAGGGUCUUCUCCCGCAUGAAAGAAAACGGAAAGGGGGCGCAGGCUACCACUUGGGGAUGGGCCUGCGGCGCAUUACCUAGUUGGGGGGGUAACGGCCUACCAAGGCAACAAUGCGUACCCAACCUGAAAGGGUGACCGGCCACCCUGGAACUAAAACACGGCCCAAACUCCUACGGAAGGCAGCAGUAGGGAAUUUUCCACAAUGAACGAAAGUCUGAUGGAGCACCGCCGCGGGAACAAUGAAGGCCUUCGGGUUGUAAAGUUCUGUUGUCAGGGACAAACAAGUACCGUUCGAAUAGGGCGGUACCUUGACGGUACCUGACAAGAAAGCCACGGCUAACUACGUGCCAGCAGCCGCGGUAAUACGUAGGUGGCAAGCGUUGUCCGGAUUUAUUGGGCGUAAAGCGCGCGCAGGCGGCUAUGUAAGUCUGGGGUUAAAGCCCGGGGCUCACCCCCGGUUCGCAUCGAAAACUGUGUAGCUUGAGUGCAAAAAAGGAAAGCGGAAUUCCACGUGUAGCGGUGAAAUGCGUAAAGAUGUGAAGGAACACCAGUGGCGAAGGCGGCUUUCUGGCCUGUAACUGACGCUAAGCCGAAAGCGUGGGAAGCAAACAGGAUUAA
rnacentral:rRNA from 1 species